UACGAAGGUGGCAAGCGUUGUUCGGAUUUACUGGGCGUAAAGGGAGCGUAGGUGGUUUGUUAAGUCUGAUGUGAAAGCCCUGGGCUCAACCUGGGAACGGCAUUGGAAACUGGCUUACUAGAGUGCGGUAGAGGGGUGUGGAAUUCCCGGUGUAGCAGUGAAAUGCGUAGAUAUCGGGAGGAACAUCUGUGGCGAAGGCGACACCCUGGACCAGCACUGACACUGAGGCACGAAAGCGUGGGGAGCAAACAGG
rnacentral:rRNA from 1 species